rnacentral:lncRNA from 1 species
CUACCACCUUGAUUUACCCCGUGGUGCACCGCCGGACUGUUCCGCCCGCAAUCAGAUUUCUCCUUCGGCCGCAAUCGUACCGUCUUGUUUUUGCAAUAUAUAUAAACAACGUGCCGGUUCGUACCGUUUCUUAAUCGUGGUUGGGUACCCUUAUCACGAGUGGUUGGUGUUCCAUACUGUCCAUCAUGUCAACGUCAUGCUCAUCAAGUUUAUCAUUUGGAUAUGUUGACCCAUCUUGGAAUAAUC